CAUCACUGCAACGGUGAGGAAGGGGCGCUCGAGCCAAGUCGUUGAAUCAAAUAACCGCUUCAAGCGCGCAGCUCCACUGUUUACGAAAGAGCAAGGGUGAAACAUAUUAAUUACGACAGUCGCGACGUCUCUAAUAGAACCAAAUUCAGGACAACGGGACACCGGCGAGCCUUGAAUUUAUCCCGGUGGUCCCUACUAUCAUCCAAAAGCAGGAGGGUCUUCCCCCUCCAACCAACCCAUCCAUUCAGGAUGUCCACUCCAGACCCUCCCAUGGGGGGUACCCCUCGACAGGGUCCUUCCCCAGGCCCGGGGCCCUCUCCUGGGGCAAUGCUUGGCCCCAGCCCUGGUCCUUCUCCAGGGGGGUCCUCUCACAGCAUGAUGGGGCCCAGCCCAGGGCCUCCAUCCUCAGGUCACCCCCUGCCUCAGGCUGGGCCCUCUGGAUACUCCCAGGAGAACAUGCACCCUCUGCACAAACCACUGGAAGGUAUGGGAGAACUACCAUGGAGAGGACUGCCAUGGAGGAGGACUGCCAUGUGACAGGACUGCCAUGGACAGGACUGCCAUGGAGAGGACUGGAAUGGAGAGGACUGGUAUGGAGAGGACUGGUAUGGAGAGGACUGCCAUGGAGAGGACUGCCAUGGAGAGGACUGGUAUGGAGAGGACUGUCAUGGAGAGACUGUCAUGGAGAGGACUUCCAUGGAGAGAAAUAACAUGGAGAGAAAUACCAUGGAGAGAAAUACCAUGGAGAGGACUGCCGUGAGAAGGACUGGCGUGGAGAGGACUGCCAUGGAGAGACUGU